AAUGCACGACACAAUGACGCGGGGUCUACGCCCCAGAGGGCAUCUUCCUUCCUGGGAUUCGGCAUCCCUGGCCUCCUGGUCGUCGUCCGUCGGCUCCGUGGGAAGAAACAGACUGAGAAUUAGCCGACCGUCGACGUGGGACAGCGUGAGAGGCCCGUCUCCGAUCUGGGAUAGCGUUAGCACGGACGGGAGUUUCGUAAAAACUCGAUCGGAGGAGAUGAUAAGCCGAGAAGAUUCACCGAAAUGGAAUACCUUGGAGCGCGGAAGUUGCUUGGGUGGUUUUCAAGGCGUUACAAAUUUCGUUGAACAAGCUCGUUUACCGAGUUGGGAAAGCUUGGAGGCGACUCUGGAC
rnacentral:misc_RNA from 1 species